rnacentral:rRNA from 1 species
AUUGAACGCUGGCGGCAGGCCUAACACAUGCAAGUCGAGCGGAUGAAGGGAGCUUGCUCCUGGAUUCAGCGGCGGACGGGUGAGUAAUGCCUAGGAAUCUGCCUGGUAGUGGGGGAUAACGUCCGGAAACGGGCGCUAAUACCGCAUACGUCCUGAGGGAGAAAGUGGGGGAUCUUCGGACCUCACGCUAUCAGAUGAGCCUAGGUCGGAUUAGCUAGUUGGUGGGGUAAAGGCCUACCGAGGCGACGAUCCGUAACUGGUCUGAGAGGAUGAUCAGUCACACUGGAACUGAGACACGGUCCAGACUCCUACGGGAGGCAGCAGUGGGGAAUAUUGGACAAUGGGCGAAAGCCUGAUCCAGCCAUGCCGCGUGUGUGAAGAAGGUCUUCGGGUUGUAAAGCACUUUAAGUUGGGAGGAAGGGCAGUAAGUUAAUACCUUGCUGUUUUGACGUUACCAACAGAAUAAGCACCGGCUAACUUCGUG